CGGCGGCCGUAACAAUAACGGUCCUAAGGUAGCGAAAUUCCUUGUCGGGUAAGUUCCGACCUGCACGAAUGGCGUAAUGAUGGCCACACUGUCUCCUCCUGAGACUCAGCGAAGUUGAAAUGUUUGUGAAGAUGCAAUCUCCCCGCGGCUAGACGGAAAGACCCCAUGAACCUUUACUGUAGCUUUGCAUUGGACUUUGACGGGACUUGUGUAGGAUAGGUGGGAGGCUGUGAGGCGUGGUCGCCAGAUCGCGCGGAGCCAACCUUGAAAUACCACCCUGGUGUCGUUGAGGUUCUAACCUUGGUCCGUGAAUCCGGAUCGGGGACCGUGCAUGGCAGGCAGUUUGACUGGGGCGGUCUCCUCCCAAAGAGUAACGGAGGAGUACGAAGGUCUUCUAAGCACGGUCGGACAUCGUGCUCAUAGUGCAAUGGCAAAAG
rnacentral:rRNA from 1 species